UAAGUGCUCGCUUGUUGGGAUU
rnacentral:miRNA from 17 species